CCACAAGAAGGUUGUGGAAGCUGUGCUCCUGACCCAUUUGUUCUUCCAUUACGCUGUAAUGUUUGGAAAAAUACACAGCAGGAUUUAUGGAAAGUGCUUCAAAGCCUAAUUUUCCUCUCCAAAUCUCCAGCAGGUAUCUCUCCGAGCUCCGCUUCACAUGAGGAGUACGUGCAGCUGACCUCCUGAACUGGGCAUGGAAGAAGCAGAGAAAGCCAGUAAGGAAAAAGAAUUAGUUAGGUUCUGUGGAGUAGAGAACAUCAUCCUAAGCAUGUCAGCUGAUGGAAACCAAAUAGGAGACAGCAGAACUCAGGCAUUCGAAGGGUCUGCUUUGAAACAAAGGAAGACAUCUUAGCAUCCCUCUCUACCUGUCUUCAUAAAUUAUGUGUGCUAAUGACACGCUAUUAGAAUUACGGAUCUCGUUUGUAACAGAUCAUGUAUAGAACAAAUUGCCUCUUAUCCUGAUUCCAAACUGGGCACCGACAGCUCACCUUGUAGCGGUUGUGACUGCAGGGCCAUCUAAAGACCAAGUUAUUCAGGCUCACAAGCACAUGCAUAUCUGGGAUUGACAUCUUCAUUGCAAAGAUGGAACUAAAAUAAAUUCAGAGGAAAAAGAUGCAGAUAUUUAAUUUCCAACAGUAGUGUCCAAAUCAGGAGAGGAACUGUGGUGGUCUUUAGUGAGUGUGAUGAGCAUUAUCCACUCUUUAAGUAACAUGUUGGCUCAGUAUUUUCACUUUGUCACACUUUGUAACAGCUGGAUUUCUAACUGAGGCAGUGCAUCAUCCCAUCAUGGCCUGACCUGAUGUCUCCACCUCACAGCAGAAUAAUUCUAUACAAAAGAGUUAUUUUGCAGAUUCUGUUCACUCUUUAAUUUUAGUGCAAGAUCUCCUGCCCUGUUUUGCCAAUUGACCAUGAAAGCCACAUGUUAUGAAUUUCAUUUCCUGACUGGAUAAAAAUGUGACAGAUUGAGGAUGACAUAUGCUCACAUCAGCUCUUCAGAGUGGAAAAUAAAAUGUCUGCUUACAAACUUUUGGAACAGGAAAAGGGUUAGGAUUGAUUUGGAAGCUAAGCAAACCCUUAUCUGUUCUUCUGAUUCAGAACUAGAGGCCAGGUUUGCCAGGGCUGUGGGAGCUCUCUGUGUUCCAACAGGUCAUUAAAGUUGAACUGCCUUAUUUUUCUGCUUAAAAAGGAAAGGGUUGUGAACAUGUUUGACAGUUAAGGACAUUUGUUCAGCAUCUUCUUCAUUUUACAAAGUCCCACGUCCUCACUGCACUUUUCCCUGUUCCCAUCACAGAAUCUCUCUCUGUUGUGCUCAGGCCUUGGAAUCACCCAAGGUCACUACUGCAAAACACAGCGUGCCCUGAGGACCUCCCCAGCCUUUCUGCACAGGUGACCUAACAGGAAAGCUAAGUGGAACUUUGGGUUGGUGGUGAUAUGCAGGCCAACCCAAAGACAACUGAAUCUGACUCAUUUCCUUUAUCAUUACCUUUUUAACCCUUUAAAGAUCAGCCUUUGUAACCAAUAAAAUUGAUCAUGCAUGCCUUCACUGUUCAGACUUGCUGUGUAUUCAGCAGCUGUUUUCUAACUUACAGUAUCUCUUGUGUUUUGUCCCUGAAUUCCAUGCAGUCUGUGACUCCCAUAUGGACAAACUUGUCUGUCCUUGAUAUGAAAUUUGGUCUCAGCUUUGGCAGUUUGCAAGUCUACACUACAGCAUAUCUUUAAAAAGGAAAACCAGCAGCUGCAACUAACCAGAACGUUCUGCAUCACCUUCAACUACUGUAGCCCUUUUGAUACUGAUAGCAGAGAGUUUUUUAAUAACUAUCUCUAUUUACCCGCAUGUUCUUUGAGGUGUGAGCUGGCUCAUGAUGAUGACAGUAUCCACUGAGGACCAGAAAGCUAUAAACAGUACUAUAAACUCAAAGAUGUGUGUAUAGCACCAGAGGUAAAGCAUUCCCAUACUGACGUGGAAUCUAAUUCCAGCCAAUGAUUUGUAACAAUCAUGAACUUAACCUGGAAGGAGACAGGUAAGCAGUCAUGUGAGGUAAAUGGGCUUUGUCUCCCCAAAGCCUUCUCUCUUGAAAUGAUUUCCUCAUUAAUGCACUCCUUCCUAAAUUCUACUUUAGCUCUCAUUUGCAUUUUUGAGUUCUUAAGGCUGUUUUCAGAUGUACUGUAUACACGCCAAAGGCCAUGUAAAUGCAGGCUCUACUCUGAGCUCAGUGAACUUCAGCCAAUUUAUUCUAGUUGAGUAACUGUCCAGGUGAAUCCAGAUUUCUUUACUCAUUUUUCAGCAGAAUAAACUGUAAUCAGCCUCUCUGUAAAUAUGCAUCUUAUAUACCCAAUAUUAACUAGAUCUAAUCAGCUUAAUUAUGUGGUUAAUAAUAAUUCAAGUUCAUGCAGCAUAAUCUUCUAUUUAAAGUGGGUACAAUAUUUUACAGUAUCUGAAAAAUGGCUUGGCUUAAUAAACAGAUGGAAGAAAAAUAUCUUUAAAAAGAGAAUUAAAGGACAACUCUUGAAUGCAGAUUGCAGCAUUACCCAAAGAACAUUCACACACAAAUCCUUCUUCCAGAGAAGUGCUGCACAACAGGCGUUCACCAACAAAAGGAUUUUCAAUACUAUUUGAAAUCCUGUUCUGGCUUCUACAGUGCAAAUCUGUCUCCUCAUCUGCAGGAGAGCUCAAAAACAGUACAGUUGUGUUCUACUGUGCAAGUGCCAACCCUACGGCAGUGCCAAUUCUGUACUGUAUAAACCGUUUUGUAUCUCUAUUUCUACCUGCUAUCUCUUUUGCCUCACUGGUACAAACAAAUGUUGUUUUGGUGCAAGGCACUGCAGAAUGAGUCUGGAUGCAUUGGCAUACUUCUGAGUUCACUUCCUGAACCGUAUUAAUAUCUAAUAAUUAAAAACCGUUUUCAAAUACUUAAAAUUCAUGUUUCACUAAAGAUGGUUAUACCCAACACCCACAUUUUGACCACUUUUGGUUUAUAAUUAUCCUUUUCUAAUUCUUCCAUAUUUACUUAUUGUAACUCUAUAUAUCAUAUACAGCAUUUAAUGCUAUAUUUUAAACUGCAGACAGCAAAUCAAAAUGCUUCAGCUCUGUUUUUCAUGGUUCAGACAUGUCUGAAAUAUAAUGAGAGCAGGGAUUUGUCUGCCCUGAUUUAAUUACUACAAUCCAGAUAACUCUGUCAAUCAAUUUUUCUCCUUGUGACUCCUGGCAGGGUGAAAAAUGCCUUCAUUAUAAGGACUGAUCAUUAGUGGAUGUGAAGUUGAGAAGAUGAUGAAGAUGAGUUGUUGGGUCUGGCAGAGAAUUGACCCAUCAGUGUCAUUAAGUGAACUGCGGCAAGCCCAGCAAUUCCCAUGGGGCAAAUCAUUGAAUUCCUCAGGAGCAAAGGUCUGUGUCUGUCUAUACCAAAGCACUUUGAAAUGUACACACAUGCAGUUUGCAGUAGUCUGAUGGAUAACUAAACAAUUACACAGGCAGUAACUGAUUUGUCCUUCUCUUUUCAUGAAAGAAACAACCUUUAAGGUACUGUGUUUUAGUUUCCUUUCUAUGUGACGGUUUAAAUAACGUUUAUAUCCACUGCCCUUUCAACUCUGUAUUACCAAAGUUCAGCUCCAAGCUGCAUCCACCUCCCAACACACAAAAGCUCUGUAUUAAAAAUGUUAAUUGCAAUUCUGAGUUCUUUUCCUUCUAAAUACUGAACGACAAGACCGGCUCUCUGAGCUCUAAGGAAUUUGUAAUCAAUGUUUUUCACAUAGCUGUAAAAACACCUUCCUGUAGAGCAGCCUCAGUGACAAGCAACUGAAUGAAAAACGAGCACUGUAUGUUCAAUGUUUUUUUCUAAACUAUGCUUUAAUUGCAAACGGUAAUUUUACGUAAUUGACCUAUUAAUCAUAAAAUAAAAUUU
rnacentral:lncRNA from 1 species